GAGGAUAAAUUCUGAUGUUGAAUAGAUCCUGCAGCCAGAAAACAGCUUCUCCUUUCAAGACUGAAUUAGAUGAACUUCAGCUUCUGACAGCCAGGUGGAUAAGCCUCUGCUACCAGAACAGCUUCCCGUCCAAACUUUGAAAAGCCUCUGUCUAUGGAAGCAGUUUUGGAGCCCAGGACAGUCAGUAACCAGGCAAUGUUCAGGAAUGUUGGCACUACUACCCGCCUAUUCUUCACCUAUUUAGUGACUGAAAUAGUACUUUAGUGGUCAGGAAUGCCAGCACAUCCAUACUUCAAAUUGCCUUUCUACAGUAGGAAAAUGGAAUAAAUAGAAGUCAGACUUGGAUAUCUGAAUUUCCACACCUUAUAUGUUUUUGUCCCAUUGCAUCUGCCUGAUAAUCAUCUUUCAAGGCCAAAGGGAAAAAAAA